rnacentral:rRNA from 1 species
UGCCAGCCGCCGCGGUAAUACGGAUGGUGCGAGCGUUAAUCGGAAUCACUGGGCAUAAAGAGCACGUAGGCGGCGGCGUAAGUCAGUGGUGAAAUCCCUCGGCUCAACCGAGGAACUGCCAUUGAUACUGCGUGGCUGGAGUGCGGGAGGGGCAGACGGAAUUCCAGGUGGAGCGGUGAAAUGCGUAGAUAUCUGGAGGAACGCCGGAGGCGAAAGCGGUCUGCUGGCCCGUAACUGACGCUGAGGUGCGAAAGCUAGGGGAGCAAACAGGAUUAGAUA